GGCCUGGUGGCAGAGUGGUUAUGCAGCGGACUGCAAAUCCGUGCACGCCGGUUCGAUUCCGACCCAGGCCUCCA
rnacentral:tRNA from 17 species